CGCAGCCGCGGUAAUUCCAGCUCCAAUAGCGUAUAUUAAAGUUGUUGCAGUUAAAAAGCUCGUAGUUGAAUUUCGGGAUCAAUAUGUCGGUCGUGCCUUCGGUACGUACUGGUAUCAUUGGUCUCUCCUUUCUGACGAACCAUGAUGUCAUUAAUUUGGUGUUAUGGGGAGUUAGGACUGUUACUUUGAAAAAAUUAGAGUGUUUAAAGCAGGCUUUAGCUUGAAUACAUUAGCAUGGAAUAAUGAAAUAGGACGUUCGAACCUAUUUUGUUGGUUUCUAGGAUCAACGUAAUGAUUAAUAGGGAUAGUUGGGGGCAUUAGUAUUCAAUUGUCAGAGGUGAAAUUCUUGGAUUUAUUGAAGACUAACUACUGCGAAAGCAUUUGCCAAGGAUGUUUUCAUUAAUCAAGAACGAAAGUUAGGGGAUCGAAGACGAUCAGAUACCGUCGUAGUCUUAACCAUAAACUAUGCCGACUAGGGAUCGGAUGAUGUUAAUUUUUUAAUGACUCAUUCGGCGCCUUA
rnacentral:rRNA from 1 species